GAAACAAUACAAGGUGAAUGAUCGGAAAGACAACCGGAGGGAAGAAAAUUUACACCAAUAUGUGGCCUAUUUUGCACCCAAAUAUCAUUGAUCAUAGCCCUAUCUAUUUUGCUCCAAACCGAGCCAUUGGUCCAUGUGAGGAAGCAACCAAUAGACCGUACAUCCGUUAGACCCACUUGAAGGCAACAAUUUGUAAGAUCUUUGAUUUCAUAAGGGGUGACAUCCGCCCCAUUACUUUUCUCAUCAAAUUUAAGGAUGUUGUUGAAGUCCCCCAAAAUCAUCCAAGGCAAUGCAACAAUUGUGUUGAGAUCCAUGAUGUUUUCCCAAAGAGGCCUUCUAGAAACCAUAGUGUGGAAGCCAUAAACAAAACUAACAAGGAAGGUGAAGGAAGUUACCUUGCAAGUAGCUUUACAAUG
rnacentral:lncRNA from 1 species